rnacentral:lncRNA from 1 species
CUGGCAUAGAAGCAUAUGCUCUCACAGAGUGGAUUUUGUUAUUCAGAAAUAACUUCCUUUGCCAAAGAGAGAAUAAUUUGGAAGAGGGAAAUGAAACUGUUAUUGCUUUGUGGCUUAUUGCAUGGUAUCUCUUCAUAGCACAAUAGCAGUUCAUAAAGAAAAGAGUGAAGAAUUUUAGAGAGAUCAUUUGUUUUUCUGGCUUUCCCAAGCUUCAUAAUUUAUAUAUAUAUAUAUAUAUAUUUUUUUUUUUUCUAGGCUAAAUCAUAAAAAUGGAGUGAAAUAUACCUCACAGGAGUAUUAUUUACUUAGUUUUCCCACAAUCGGAGUGAUUUUCCCUAACUUCCAACAUUGCCACUCCAACUUGUUCUCAGAAACUGUCAUUGAUGGAAAUUCAGGAAUCUUCCAGAAUACUGCUUCAAGAGAGCUAUGCACUUUGCAAUUGUUUCUCUCUGAAUUGAAAAGAAAGUAAAGUUUUUACCAGACAACACCAGGAGUGGGGUUUGGAGCAAAGGUUGUAAACUACCUGUGAUGUCAAACUGUCUUGAUGAAGAAUUUUCAGCCCACUUUCUUGAAGAAAUGGGAUGUAUGCAUUCAGAGUCUCUCCAUCUGUAUAUACCUAAUGUAUUAUCUACUAGAUAACAAGGAGUGUAUCUAUCCUGUUACCUGUCCAUCAAGUGACAUUACAAAAGAUGAGUAUUUUCUUUAUUUGCAAAUCAAUUUUCAGGGAAUUUUUAGAAAUUUGGUAAUCUUUGUGUUCUCUAUUUCCAACAACUAUGGCUGA